AACUUUGAGCGGUGGAUCACUCGGCUCGUGUGUCGAUGAAGAGUGCAACCAACUGUAUGAAUUAAUGUGAACUGUAUACUGCUUUGAACAUCGACAUCUUGAACGCACAUUGCGGUUACGGGGUAUCCUGUGUCCACACCUGUCCGAGGGUCG
rnacentral:rRNA from 1 species